rnacentral:rRNA from 1 species
CAUUCAAAUUUCUUUAUUAAUUUUUAAUAAAUAAUUUAUAUUAAAUAUAAAAAUAUAUUUAUGAAAAAAAAAAGACGACAAGACCCUAUUAAAUUUUACUUAUAGUUUAGCUGGGGAAGCUUUUCAAUUAAAAUUUUUUAAAAUCUUAAAAUAAAUAUCUAAUUUAAAUUAAAAUUUAAAUAAAUUACUAUAGGGAUAACAGCAUUAUAUUUUUUAAAAGUUCAUAUUAAAAAAAAUGAUUGUGACCUCGAUGUUGAAUUAUAUUUUCUAUAUUUAAUGCAAUAAUUAUAAAAGUAGAUCUGUUCGAUCUUUAAAAUAUUACAUGAUUUGAGUUCAAACCGGUGUAAACCAGGUUGGUUUCUAUCUUUUUAUAUAUUUUUCCAGUACGAAAGGACAAAAAAAUUUUUAUUUUAAUAAAUUAGCAAAUAUAAUGCAUUAGAUUUAGAAUCUAAAUAUAUUUAA